rnacentral:rRNA from 1 species
UGUGUAGGUGGCCUGUUAAGUUCCGUGUGAAAUCUCCCGGCUCAACCGGGAGGGUGCGCGGAAAACUGGCGGGCUAGAGUGCGGGAUGGGAGAGUGGAAUUCCUGGUGUAGCGGUGAAAUGCGUAGAUAUCAGGAGGAACACCGGUGGUGUAGACGGCUCUCUGGACCGUAACUGACGCUGAGACACGAAAGCGUGGGUAGCAAACAGGAUUAGAUACCCUGGUAGUCCACGCCCUAAACGAUGCAUAUUUGGUGUAGGUCAUUCAGUUGAUCUGUGCCGGAGCUAACGCGUUAAAUAUGCCGCCUGGGGAGUACAGUCGCAAGGCUGAA